CCUUCCUGCUGCUCUGCGCCCCCCCAGCCCUGUAAGCUCUAGCUCCAACAAAGGGCUGAAGACCAAAUCCAGAGCUUUGUGGAUACAAGGCUCUAUAUGCCUGAAUUAAACGAAUUCAUCUAAUCCUCCGCCAUCCCUCCAAAGUGGUUAUGUAAGACAUCCACUCUUCACAAGAGAAAAGCAAGCUUCAAAGAUGUCAAGUGACACGCUAAAAGCCACUCAGACAAUCAGAGCAAGAAUGAAGGGGACAACCAGAAUUUGAGCCCAUGUUCCCUGGUCCUGUACACAAUGAGCUUGUUUUAUUUUAAAAAUAAAAAAUAAAAAAGCCCA